CGGGGCCUGAAGGGGCGGCGCUGAGGAGAGAGCGCUGAAUGCGCCACCCUCCUGGGCAGCCCGAACACAAUGUUUAAUAGCGCUUUCUGUGAAGAAAUUUCUCCCGACGUCCGAUGUGCCAAGCAGCCACACAGUCUCAAUCCCUUCCACGAGCCCAGCAAAAAGAUGAGGAGUUUUCUGCUUCCAGCACCCCAGAUGUCCUGCUGAAACCACAGCCCUGCAAUGAGGUGUAGAAUUACAUGAUAUGGAGUAGUAAGAAGGAUACUCUUUGAAAACAAGAUCAGUGUGGGAAAAGUUGAGACAAGAGGCUGGUAAAUUUGGAGAUGCACUAAUUAAACUUGUAAAGUCUGUAAAGAAAAUUAUUUAAUGACAUUUUAGAAUUGUAACAUGGACAGUCACUAGUAAUGUCAACUGCAUUAAUAAAGAGUGUGCAAGAAAUUAAAUUAACAACAUGGUUUGUCAUUCUUUAGUGAAGCUUUCAUCGCAUUAUGAAAAUUCUCCUCAUUAGAGAAAAGUGAGCAGUAUAAGACUGUCAUAUCUCUGCUUGGUUUGCUGUACA